rnacentral:rRNA from 1 species
GAUGAACGCUGGCGGCGUGCCUAACACAUGCAAGUCGAACGGAGUCCAGCCUUUAAGACCUUCGGGUCAAAGAGGGGAAGACUGAGUGGCGGACGGGUGAGUAACACGUGGGCAACCUGGCUCAUAGAGGGGGAUAACAGAGAGAAAUUUCUGCUAAUACCGCAUAAGCACACACUGCCACAUGGCAGAGGGUGAAAAGAGAAUCGCUAUGAGAUGGACCCGCGUCUGAUUAGCCAGUUGGCAGGGUAAGAGCCUACCAAAGCGACGAUCAGUAGCCGAUCUGAGAGGAUGAACGGCCACAUUGGGACUGAGACACGGCCCAAACUCCUACGGGAGGCAGCAGUGGGGGAUAUUGCACAAUGGGGGGAACCCUGAUGCAGCGACGCCGCGUGAGUGAAGAAGUAUUUCGGUAUGUAAAGCUCUAUCAGCAGGGAAGAUAAUGACAGUACCUGAAUAAGAAGCCCCGGCUAACUACGUG